rnacentral:tRNA from 1 species
GCCGAGGUGGCGGAAUGGCAGACGCGUCGGUCUCAAAAACCGAUGUCCGCAAGGGCGUGGGAGUUCGAAUCUCCCUCUCGGCACCA